AACCUGGUUGAUCCUGCCAGUAGUCAUAUGCUUGUCUCAAAGACUAAGCCAUGCAUGUCUAAGUAUAAGUAUUAUACAGCGAAACUGCGAAUGGCUCAUUAAAGACAGUUAUAAUUUAUUUGAUAAUCGAAUUUACAUGGAUAACCGUGGUAAUUCUAGAGCUAAUACAUGCUGGUAGGCCCGACUUUUUGGAAGGGCGGUAUUUAUUAGAUAACAAACCAAUAUUCCUCUGGUCUAUUGUGGUGAAUCAUAAUAACUGAUCGAAUCGCAAGGUUUUUAACCGCGAUAAGUCAUUCAAGUUUCUGCCCCAUCAGCUUUCGAUGGUAAGUGUAUUGGACUACCAUGGCUUUUACGGGUAACGGAGGAUUAGGGUUCGAUUCCGGA
rnacentral:rRNA from 1 species